AGUUCAGUUUGUUAGCAGAAACUUCAAGGAGUAAGAGGUGCAGCUGGCUGGAGGUGGCGGGCCGUAAGGGCCAAAGCAGCACUGUCCAGAAGAUUCCAAAAGAAGACCUAACAGUGUCUUGGAGCCACCAGGAGUACUUCUGCUCAUGUGAGAAGCUGCAGGAAAGCACCAACAUCCCCCUCCUCCACAAUCAACUGGGAUGGAGGAAAAUGAGAUUUUAAGAACCCCUCAUGUGGAAUGAGAGAGAAAUAGCCACCAAGACCACCCCACCACCCCACAUGGGCAGAGGAGGAAGCAUUUUUUGAAGAGUGGAGAAUGGAUGGAGUCCUCACAGGGCUGAAAGGCUGGGUGAAGGAAAGUUAGUAUCCUACCUGUUGUCGCAGGAGUGGAAACUUUGCCAGACAGAACACCUUAUUGGUUAUCUUUCUGCUUUCUACUUAACCGUUUGGCACUUAUUACCAAGGAGAUGUGCAUUAUAGAAAUACCAAAGUGAAUUAGAUAAGUAGCAGCCUGGACAAUGGGAGGAUGGGGUUGAAGUAAUUUUCCAUUCCCUCUGCUUUCAAAUAUUGAGGAGGGAAUAUCCCCCCCAACCCCUUUCCACCUCCAUAACCAGGAAAAUGGUAGUCCUAGGAAGGUGACAGUUGAGUGAUAAUGUGGGAGUAAUUCCCACGCAGUGUGUUGCACGUAUUGCAUUAAGGAGAUGACAACUAAAGCAAAUACACCACACUGCCAAACUAUCAUGAGACAGCACCUAUGUUCAGGACUUCAAAAGGGAGUGGAGUCAAUGAUUAGAGGAAACAUUCUGGGAUGGUGGAGGAGCUGAGAGGGAAAAGGCCGUCAGGUGCGAUCCUUGAAAUGUUUGUGGGUCUGGCCAAAUUUAGCUUUAAUUCACCCCCAAUAACUGGUAAUAGUAAAUAGGAUUAACUAUAAAAACGCUGUAGUAAUAUUCCAGACAUUUUAAAAAUAAGAUUGUGUAAUAAAACAAAUAUCAGUCAAACAUUCAAACUCACAGUUGGUUAACACAGUACAUUUUUAAAAUAAAGAAUACAGUGCUUGGAGAUA